UAGCCUUUCGAAAGGAAGAUUAAUACCGCAUAAGAUUGUAGUAUCGCAUGAUAUAGCAAUUAAAAGGAGCAAUCCGCUAUAAGAUGGACCCGCGUUGCAUUAGCUAGUUGGUGAGGUAAUGGCUCACCAAGGCGACGAUGCGUAGCCGACCUGAGAGGGUGAUCGGCCACAUUGGGACUGAGACACGGCCCAGACUCCUACGGGAGGCAGCAUG
rnacentral:rRNA from 1 species